AAUCCGCUCCGCGUGUUCCGCAGCCAAUCCCAUCCUCCCCUCAGUCCCGUACAAGUCGCCGCACAAACCCUAGCCCCCAUUCCCCUCGAUCCCCAGUCUCUCUGCCUGCUCCAGUCACCACGUCCUCCGCGAUGGAGCCUCGCCGCCGCGUGCGUCUCCCUUCUCCACCAUGCUGCCCUUCCACCUCGCCUUCCUUCUCUUCUUUGUCUAUGCGGCCGUCGGUGGCGGCUGGUUCCAAAUCGGGCGCGGAUUAGCCGAGCCCGGUGGUGAGGUGAAGGAGCAGGGUGGGCGGCCCAUCGCGAUGGGAUGGGGCUAGGGAAGAGGGAGGAGGCCGAAGGGUGAAGGAGCAGGCCGGCCCUCACGGUCACAGAGGCACCGCCGCUGUCCAGGGUCGUUCGCCGUCACCGGCCUCACUCGCCUCGUCUCCUAUCUCUUCACCACUGCAUCCAUGUGAAUUUUUGAAGAAUGGUGCUCCGAUUUGGUCCCCAUGCUGCAGGCCUGCAACAUUUAUAGAGGAGGAUUGCAGGUGUCGAUACAAUGGAGCAAUUUCUGGCUUUGUAGUUGGAGCAUAGCCUCGAUUAUGCAUGAUUUUGGGGUUUUGCUCUCUCCCUGUGUGCUACACAUUUCUGCUCUCCCCAGUAGCAAUUGGAUGUUAAUCUGCUAUGGGCAGUGGCGGUGCAUCAAGGUGCAAGGCAGCAGCGACAUGUUCAUAGUAUGCUAAAGGAUGAACCCCUACUUUUUCUGAUGCUAGCUCGUUGCUGCAGAUAUACCAGCAUGCUUACAUCUCCCAAGAUAUCCUCUUGGUCAAGGCAAUUGCACAUGAUGAAGCCACUCAUUUUAGUGGUAUACCACACUCUGAGCAAUAGGACCAAAAACAGGAAGAUAAAUUUUCACAAUUCGAUACUUCAUAUUUUCCAGAAGUACGGCCACCUUCUGCACAGUGCCCUUGCAUUGGUGUUCUUAUCAAAUAAGUUUCUUUCCGUAGAAUUUGUUCAGGAUAUGCAUUGUGCUUAAACAUGAGUGCUCGCUCGCCGAACGUUGGCCCUCGGAUGAAUUCGACGCUUGAAUUGAGCUGACGAGCCCCAUGGGGGUGAGAGGCGGAUAACAAUACGAGAAGGAGCAUGCCAUCGAGGAGUGCAAGCAGCGGCACUCCUCCGCAAUGGGGUAUGGCUGCAGGGGAGGGGACGCGGCCAACGACAGGAAGAAGGAGCAGGUCGUCAAAGACUACAAGCAGCAGGUUUCCUUUGACUGGAAGUCUGAAACUGAAGAUAGGGCAUAUUGUUUUGGUUCUGAGUGGUCGAAGAUAUUGUGGCUUGAUGUCCCUAGAGCAGUCGGACCCUUCCAAGAUAGAAGAUCUUUGGGAUUGACGUUCUGAUGAGAAAGUAGCAUACGGAUGGAUGGACAUGAACUAUUCAGUGGUCGAACUGCGCUAUAUUUCUUUCAUUGAGGCGAGGGUGAUUCCAGUAGAUUUUGCUUGGCGUACUCGCCUUUUUUAUUGAAGUUGGGUGUCCGUCUUCUCUGCGGCAAGGAUCUGGGGAGUCAGAUUGUGGAUUACAUGUAGUGGGGAAGUAGAGAGGGGGACGAGGAAGAGGACACCAUCGGUGGCGUGCUAUAUCUCACUAGGCGACAAUGUCGAGAGGGUGCCUGGCAUCAAGAACCCGACAUGCUUUUCCGAGUGUUCGUUGAGGUGAGCCACCUGGGCCGGUCUAUGGGUUGAGGUGGUUUGGUAAUCCUGGGUUGUUCCUCUUUUUCCUGCGUUUUUUUUUUCAGGAAAUGACUUUAUUUAUUGGAAAAUGGCAAUAUCGUUUACAAGUAUACAUGAAACAAACUAUUUUUCCUACACCUCUUUGUUCUAUGUGAUGGUGCUCUUGGUUGAGUGUGCUGACGAAAGAGAUUCCAUGCUACAGGCUAGAUCUAUGCUGUCGCGGCAACACAGGCCAAUACACAUUCAGGAAAUAUGUCACCAACUUCCCCAAGGUCCCGCAUCGUCUACUCAGGAUAUUCUUUGCCCCAAGCCCUACAGAAUAAUGCCCAGUCUAAUUUCAGCAGUGGGCAUGACAGCCUCAAACUUCUCUCUUCAAUAUUGAAGAAGCGGCUUACUCAGAUCAAUGGGCAUGCACUUAGAAAAAUAGCUAAAGAGUACGAGAUAUUCCUAGAGUAAAUAAAGGGCAUGCUGUGCUCAUAAGUUAGACAGAAGCAAAAUGUUAUUUAUUAUGCUCCUAUUGUAUCCUCGGGCAUUUUCUUCCACCUACCAAUACCCCAGUAUUGAAUAUCUACUUUCCCACCGUCGUACAGAAACUGAUGUUAGUAUUUGUGCAUACUCUU